rnacentral:rRNA from 1 species
AGUGAACGCUGGCGGUAGGCCUAACACAUGCAAGUCGAACGGCAGCACAGUAAGAGCUUGCUCUUACGGGUGGCGAGUGGCGGACGGGUGAGGAAUACAUCGGAAUCUACUUUUUCGUGGGGGAUAACGUAGGGAAACUUACGCUAAUACCGCAUACGACCUACGGGUGAAAGCAGGGGAUCUUCGGACCUUGCGCGAUUGAAUGAGCCGAUGUCGGAUUAGCUAGUUGGCGGGGUAAAGGCCCACCAAGGCGACGAUCCGUAGCUGGUCUGAGAGGAUGAUAAGCCACACUGGAACUAAGACACGGUCCAGACUCCUACGGGAGGCAGCAGUGGGGAAUAUUGGACAAUGGGCGCAAGCCUGGUCCAGUCAUACCGCGUGGGUGAAGAAGGCCUUCGGGUUGUAAAGCCCUUUUGUUGGGAAAGAAAAGCAGCAGGUUAAUACCCCGCUGUUCUGACGGUACCAAAAGAAUAAGCACCGGCUAACUUCGUG